GCCCUCUCAGACUCGCACCUGGAGAGUUUCCAGUACUCUACCAGUCUUGACUAUGGGAGGGAGAGUCGAGCAGAGGCCGACCCAUUCCAUUCCUAGCUUGGGCAGGGACUAGUGAGGGGAAGGCAAUCUGCUUUAAGU
rnacentral:snoRNA from 1 species